GACGACGCAACGCCGCGUGGAGGAUGAAGGUCUUCGGAUUGUAAACUCCUGUUGCCCGGGACGAAAUGUUCAGACCUAACACGUCUGAGUUUGACGGUACCGGGUGAGGAAGCCCCGGCUAACUCUGUGCCAGCAGCCGCGGUAAUACAGAGGGGGCAAGCGUUGUUCGGAAUUACUGGGCGUAAAGGGCGCGUAGGCGGCCCUCUAAGUCGAACGUGAAAUCCCUGGGCUCAACCCAGGAACUGCGUCCGAGACUGGAGGGCUCGAAUCCGGGAGAGGGAUGUGGAAUUCCAGGUGUAGCGGUGAAAUGCGUAGAUAUCUGGAGGAACAUCGGUGGCGAAGGCGGCAUCCUGGACCGGUAUUGACGCUGAGGCGCGAAAGCCAGGGGAGCAAACGGGAUUAGAUACCCCGGUAGUCCUGGCCCUAAACGAUGAAUGCUUGGUGUGGCGGGUAUCGAUCCCUGCCGUGCCGAAGCUAACGCAUUAAGCAUUCCGCCUGGGGAGUACGGUCGCAAGGCUG
rnacentral:rRNA from 1 species